UGAAAAUUAUACUAGUUUUAGAAUAAUGGG
rnacentral:piRNA from 1 species